rnacentral:rRNA from 1 species
GGGUCAGUAGGUUGGUCGUGCCACCGGUACGUACUGGUCUCACUGAUUCCUCCUUCCUGAGGAACCGUAAUGCCAUUAAUUUGGUGUUGCGGGGAAACAGGACUGUUACUUUGAAAAAAUUAGAGUGUUUAAAGCAAGCUAACGCUUGAAUACAUUAGCACGGAAUAAUGAAAUAGGACGAUCGAUCCUAUUUUGUUGGUUUCUAGGAUUGACGUA